UGGGGAAUAUUGCACAAUGGGCGCAAGCCUGAUGCAGCGACGCCGCGUGAGGGAUGACGGCCUUCGGGUUGUAAACCUCUUUCAGUAGGGACGAAGCGCAAGUGACGGUACCUAUAGAAGAAGGACCGGCCAACUACGUGCCAGCAGCCGCGGUAAUACGUAGGGUCCGAGCGUUGUCCGGAAUUACUGGGCGUAAAGAGCUCGUAGGUGGUUUGUCGCGUUGUUCGUGAAAACUCACAGCUUAACUGUGGGCGUGCGGGCGAUACGGGCAGACUGGAGUACUGCAGGGGAGACUGGAAUUCCUGGUGUAGCGGUGGAAUGCGCAGAUAUCAGGAGGAACACCGGUGGCGAAGGCGGGUCUCUGGGCAGUAACUGACGCUGAGGAGCGAAAAGCGUGGGGAGCGAACAGGAUUAGAUACCCUGGUAGUCCACGCCGUAAAACGGUGGGUACUAGGUGUGGGGUUUCCUUCCUUGGGAUCCGUGCCGUAGCUAACGCAUUAAGUACCCCGCCUGGGGAGUACGGCCGCAAGGCUAAAACUUAAAGGAAUUGAC
rnacentral:rRNA from 1 species